rnacentral:rRNA from 1 species
UCGAUCGCUUUGUGGUUCAACGUGAUGUGAAGAGCUUGCUCAGAUAUGACGAUGGACAUUGCAAAGAGUGGCGAACGGGUGAGUAACACGUGGGAAACCUACCUCUUAGCAGGGGAUAACAUUUGGAAACAGAUGCUAAUACCGUAUAACAAUAGCAACCGCAUGGUUGCUACUUAAAAGAUGGUUCUGCUAUCACUAAGAGAUGGUCCCGCGGUGCAUUAGUUAGUUGGUGAGGUAAUGGCUCACCAAGACGAUGAUGCAUAGCCGAGUUGAGAGACUGAUCGGCCACAAUGGGACUGAGACACGGCCCAUACUCCUACGGGAGGCAGCAGUAGGGAAUCUUCCACAAUGGGCGAAAGCCUGAUGGAGCAACGCCGCGUGUGUGAUGAAGGGUUUCGGCUCGUAAAACACUGUUGUAAGAGAAGAAUGACAUUGAGAGUAACUGUUCAAUGUGUGACGGUAUCUUACCAGAAAGGAACGGCUAAAUACGUGCCAGCAGCCGCGGUAAUACGUAUGUUCCAAGCGUUAUCCGGAUUUAUUGGGCGUAAAGCGAGCGCAGACGGUUAUUUAAGUCUGAAGUGAAAGCCCUCAGCUCAACUGAGGAAUUGCUUUGGAAACUGGAUGACUUGAGUGCAGUAGAGGAAAGUGGAACUCCAUGUGUAGCGGUGAAAUGCGUAGAUAUAUGGAAGAACACCAGUGGCGAAGGCGGCUUUCUGGACUGUAACUGACGUUGAGGCUCGAAAGUGUGGGUAGCAAACAGGAUUAGAUACCCUGGUAGUCCACACCGUAAACGAUGAGUGCUAGGUGUUUGAGGGUUUCCGCACUUAAGUGCCGCAGCUAACGCAUUAAGCACUCCGCCUGGGGAGUACGACCGCCAGGUUGAAACUCAAAGGAAUUGACGGGGACCCGCACAAGCGGUGGAGCAUGUGGUUUAAUUCGAAGCAACGCGAAGAACCUUACCAGGUCUUGACAUCCCUUGACAACUCCAGAGAUGGAGCGUUCCCUUCGGGGACAAGGUGACAGGUGGUGCAUGGUUGUCGUCAGCUCGUGUCGUGAGAUGUUGGGUUAAGUCCCGCAACGAGCGCAACCCUUAUUACUAGUUGCCAGCAUUUAGUUGGGCACUCUAGUGAGACUGCCGGUGACAAACCGGAGGAAGGUGGGGAUGACGUCAAAUCAUCAUGCCCCUUAUGACCUGGGCUACACACGUGCUACAAUGG